rnacentral:rRNA from 1 species
UACAGAGGGGGCAAGCGUUAUUCGGAAUUAUUGGGCGUAAAGGGCGCGUAGGCGGCCUGGCAAGUGGAAGGUGAAAUCCCUCGGCUUAACCGAGGAACUGCCUCCCAAACUGCUUGGCUUGAGACCAGGAGAGGUGAGUGGAAUUCCCAGUGUAGCGGUGAAAUGCGUAGAUAUUGGGGGGAACACCAGUGGCGAAGGCGGCUCACUGGACUGGUACUGACGCUGAGGCGCGAAAGCGUGGGGAGCAAACGGG